rnacentral:rRNA from 1 species
GGGAAACAGCCCAGAUCACCGUUUAAGGCCCCUAAAUAAUUACUAAGUGGCAAAGGAGGUAAUCGUACAUAGACAACCAGGAGGUUUGCCUAGAAGCAGCCACCCUUUAAAAAUAGCGUAAUAGCUUACUGGUCAAGUGCUUUUGCGCCGAAAAUGAACGGGACUAAGUAAUUUGCCGAAGACGUGAGAUAAUAUCGGUAGAAGAGCGUUCUGUUUUAGUUUGAAGCAAUAGUGAAAACAGUUGUGGACUAUUCAGAAGUGAGAAUGUCGGCUUAAGUAACGAAAACAUUGGUGAGAAUCCAAUGCCCCGGAAACCUAAGGAUUCCUUCGCAAGGUUCGUCCACGAAGGGUUAGUCAGGGCCUAAAAUGAGGUUUAACAACGUAAUUGAUGGAUAACGGGUUAAUAUUCCCGUACUACAAUUUAUAUGAUUAAGAGUGACGAAGAAGGCUAUAUCAGCCAAUUUUUGGUUUUUUGGUUUAAUCUUUCGAGGUUUUGAGAAGUGCUAAAAAAAGUAUUUUGAGCUGAGAAGAGAAUACGAGAUAUACUACGGUAUUGAAAGUGAUAAAUGUCAUGCUUCCUAGAAAAACUUUUUUAACUUCUGUAAUUUGUACCUGUACCUUAAACUGACACAGGUAGGUUGGUAGAGAAUACCAAGGGGCGCGAGAUAACUCUUUCUAAGGAACUCGGCAAAAUGACUCUGUAACUUCGGGAGAAAGAGUGCCACAAUAUUUUGUGGUCGCAGUUAACAGACCCAAGCGACUGUUUACCAAAAACACAGGUCUCCGCUAAGUUGUAAAACUAUGUAUGGGGGCUGACGCCUGCCCAGUGCCGGAAGGUUAAAGAAAUUGGUUAGCUCACGCGAAGCUAGUGACUGAAGCCCUGGUGAACGGCGGCCGUAACUAUAACGGUCCUAAGGUAGCGAAAUUCCUUGUCGGGUAAGUUCCGACCCGCACGAAAGGCGUAACGAUUUGGGUACUGUCUCAGAAAGAGACUCGGUGAAAUAGAAUUGACUGUGAAGAUGCGGUCUACUUGCACUUGGACAGAAAGACCCUAUGAAGCUUUACUGUAACUUGAAACUGGUUUCGGGCUUUUCUUGCGCAGAAUAGGUGGGAGGCAUUGAUCCUCUUUUUCGGAAGUUGGUGAGCCGUAAUGUGAGAUACCACUCUAGAAAAGUUAGAAAUCUAAUGACAUUUUUUUAGCAAGAUGUUUGACACUUUCAGGCGGGCAGUUUUACUGGGGCGGUAGCCUCCUAAAAAGUAACGGAGGCGUACAAAGGUUUUCUCAGGCUGGACGGAAAUUAGUUGUAGAGUGUAAAGAUAUAAGAAAGCUUGACUGUGAGACAUACAAGUCGAACAGAGACUAAAGUCGGUCUUAGUGAUCCGACGAUGCUGAAUGGAAAGGUCGUCGCUCAACGGAUAAAAGUUACUCUAGGGAUAACAGGCUGAUCUCCCCCAAGAGUUCACAUCGACGGGGAGGUUUGGCACCUCGAUGUCGGCUCAUCGCAACCUGGGGCGGAAGUACGUUCCAAGGGUUGGGCUGUUCGCCCAUUAAAGCGGUACGUGAGCUGGGUUCAGAACGUCGAGAGACAGUUCGGUCCAUAUCCGGUGUGAGUGUUAGAGUAUUGAAAGGAGCUUUCCUUAGUACGAGAGGACCGGGAAGGACGCACCACUGAUGUACCAGUUUUUGUACCAACAGAAUACGCUGGGUAGUCACGUGCGGAGU